GUGUCAACAUAACUACGCCACUUGGUGGAUGACUUGGCUUGGGCGCCGAAGAAGGCCGUGACAAGCUGCGAUAAGCUGUGGGGUGGCGCAAGUAGCUUUAUCCACAGAUCGCUGAAUAGGACUUCCUGGCGUACGCUAAUAACGUGCGUCGCUCCUUUCGUAGGAGCGGGAACACCCCGAACUGAAACAUCUUACUAGGGGUAGGAAAAGAAAUCAAAUGAGAUUCCCUGAGUAACGGCGAGCGAAAAGGGAAAAGGGCAAACUGAAUCCGCGUGGGAUAACCACGUGGAGAUGUGGUGUUGUAGGGCCCAGCCGCUGUCUCACUGCGGAAGCCAAAAGAUCCUGGAAAGUUUUGCCACAGA
rnacentral:rRNA from 1 species